UACGAGGGGUGCAAGCGUUGCUCGGAAUUAUUGGGCGUAAAGGGUAGGUAGGUGGUCUCGUUUGUCUGGGGUGAAAUCCUUGAGCUUAACUCAAGAAGUGCCCCAGAAACGGCGAGACUUGAGUACUGGAGAGGGUCGUGGAAUUCCCGGUGUAGCGGUGAAAUGCGUAGAGAUCGGGAGGAACACCAGAGGCGAAGGCGACUACCUGGCCUGUUCUUGACGCUGAGGCGCGAAAGCUAGGGGAGCAAACGGG
rnacentral:rRNA from 1 species